AGGAGCGGCGGAUGUUGGAGCGGCGUGUGGCUGAGCUGGAGGGAGAGUUGAAGGUGCUCGGCGACCUGAGAGCUGACAACCAGCGACUGAAAGACGAGAACGGAGCGUUGAUCAGAGUCAUCAGUAAGCUCUCCAAAUAGACGGAGAGAACGAGAGAGAGAGAGAGAGAGACAACAGGGAUGCCCCCUCGCCUCCUCCCAUCAUCCCUCCCCCCUGUCCAUCCACUCCUCCCAGUGCCAAAGAACAAGAGAGAGAGAGGUGGGGGGGGGGGGCAGACAA